GCUGACAUGUCCCGGCCAAUCUCCAGCAGACCCUCCCUCCCAGACCCUCCUACUUCCUGGACAGCAUCCAUGUUUCAACAUGGAUGCUGUCCAGGAAGUAGGAGGGUCUGGGAGGGAGGGUCUGCUGGAGAUUGGCCGGGACGUGUCAG